CCCCCUCCUAGAGUAAGUAGUCAAACCGUUUAAGAACAGUUUGACAACUUACCUGAGGUCUGCUGGGAAAUGGGGCGGUAGUAGGGCAUAGGAGCAGUGGUGUGUGUGAGUGGUGCAAUGUGUAAGGGGUGCAGUGUGUGUGUGUGUGUGUGUGAGGGGGACAGUGUGUGAGCAGUGUGUGUGUGUGUGUGAAGGUUGUAGUGUGUGAGUAGGGGGGGCAGUGUAUGUCAGGGAUGCAGUGUAUGUGUGGGACAGUAUGUGUGUGUAACAGUUGCAGUGUGUGUGUGAAUGUGG